rnacentral:rRNA from 1 species
UACGUAGGGGGCAAGCGUUGUCCGGAAUUAUUGGGCGUAAAGGGCGCGUAGGCGGGCGUUUAAGUCCGGUGUGAAAGAUCAGGGCUCAACCCUGAGAGUGCAUCGGAAACUGGAUGCCUUGAGGACAGGAGGGGAAAGUGGAAUUCCACGUGUAGCGGUGAAAUGCGUAGAUAUGUGGAGGAACACCAGUGGCGAAGGCGACUUUCUGGACUGUAACUGACGCUGAGGCGCGAAAGCGUGGGGAGCAAACAGG